GUUGGAGUAGCAAAGAGGUACUGCAGUAGGUUUAGGUUCUAUUAUCAAAGGUUCAACUCCUUUCUCUAAUU
rnacentral:tRNA from 1 species